UACGUAGGGGGCUAGCGUUGUCCGGAUUUAUUGGGCGUAAAGAGCGUGUAGGCGGCUUAGCAAGUCUGCUGUGAAAACUCGAGGCUCAACCUCGAGAUGUCGGCGGAAACUGCUUGGCUAGAGUCCGGAAGAGGAGAGUGGAAUUCCUGGUGUAGCGGUGAAAUGCGCAGAUAUCAGGAAGAACACCUAUGGCGAAGGCAGCUCUCUGGGACGGUACUGACGCUGAGACGCGAAAGCGUGGGGAGCGAACAGG
rnacentral:rRNA from 1 species